ACGGGGGCCCGCACAAGCGGUGGAGCAUGUGGUUUAAUUCGACGCAACGCGAAGAACCUUACCAGGGCUUGACAUCCCCUGACCCGCGUAUGAAAGUACGUUUUCACCCUCGGGUGACAGGGAGACAGGUGGUGCAUGGUUGUCGUCAGCUCGUGUCGUGAGAUGUUGGGUUAAGUCCCGCAACGAGCGCAACCCCUACGGUUAGUUGCUAACGGGUAAGGCCGAGCACUUUAGCCGAGCUGCCGUUGACAAACGGAGGAAGCGGGAUGACGUCAAAUCAUCAUGCCCUUUAUGUCCUGGGCUACACACGUGCUACAAUGGCCUGUACAAAGGGCAGCAAAGGGGCGACCCGGAGCAAAUCCCAAAAACAGGUCUCAGUUCGGAUUGCAGGCUGCAACUCGCCUGCAUGAAGGCGGAAUCGCUAGUAAUCGCAGGUCAGCAUACUGCGGUGAAUACGUUCCCGGGCCUU
rnacentral:rRNA from 1 species